GCUAGUGUGGUGUAGUGGUUUCAGCAUUAGACUAGGGCUCUGAAGACCAGGGUUCAAUUCCCUGCUUAGUCA